UGCAGUCGAGGGGCAGCAUGGUCUUAGCUUGCUAAGACUGAUGGCGACCGGCGCACGGGUGCGUAACGCGUAUGCAACUUGCCUUACAGAGGGGGAUAACCCGUUGAAAGACGGACUAACACCGCAUAUGCUCAGGGGUCUGCAUGGGCCUUUGAGGAAAUAUUUAUAGCUGUAAGAUAGGCAUGCGUCCCAUUAGCUUGUUGGUGAGGUAACGGCUCACCAAGGCAACGAUGGGUAGGGGAACUGAGAGGUUUAUCCCCCACACUGGUACUGAGACACGGACCAGACUCCUACGGGAGGCAGCAGUGAGGAAUAUUGGUCAAUGGGCGAGAGCCUGAACCAGCCAAGUCGCGUGAAGGAUGAAGGCCCUAUGGGUCGUAAACUUCUUUUAUACGGGAAUAACGAGCCUUACGGGUAGGGCGCUGAAUGUACCGUAGGAAUAAGCAUCGGCUAACUCCGUGCCAGCAGCCGCGGUAAUACGGAGGAUGCGAGCGUUAUCCGGAUUUAUUGGGUUUAAAGGGUGCGUAGGUUGCUUGGUAAGUCAGCGGUGAAAACUGAACGCUCAACGUUCAGCGUGCCGUUGAAACUGUCAGGCUUGAGUGCAGUGGCGGCAGGCGGAAUUCGUGGUGUAGCGGUGAAAUGCAUAGAUAUCACGAGGAACUCCGAUUGCGAAGGCAGCUUGCCAUACUGUAACUGACACUGAAGCACGAAGGCGUGGGUAUCAAA
rnacentral:rRNA from 1 species